AUGGACGUGAAAUCGGCUUUCCUGAACAGCACUCUUGAAGAGGUGGUGUAUGUGGCGCAGCCCCCUGGUUUUGCACGGCGGGGCGAGGAGGAGAAGGUGUACAAGCUAGAGAAGGCGCUCUAUGGUCUCCGGCAAGCUCCGCGUGCAUGGAACUCCAAACUAGACAGCAGCCUCGCAUCACUGGGCUUCACUCGCAGCAGGACUGAGCAUGCUGUGUACAUGCGUGGCACCGGAGCAUCUCAGCUGCUCGUCGGUGUCUAUGUGGAUGAUUUGGUCAUCACCGGAGCAAACCUACAGGAGCUGCGUCGUUUCAAGGAAGAAAUGAAGCACCUGUUCGAGAUGAGUGACCUCGGACUGUUGAGAUACUACCUCGGUCUCGAGGUGCACCAGAGCACGCUCGGCAUCACUAUCAACCAGGCGUCUUACGCUGAGAAGCUGCUGGACAAGGAGGGCAUGGCCGGCUGCAAGAGCCAUGUGCCGCUUGAACCAAACUGCAAGUUGAGCAAGGCGAGCUCAGCGCCACUCGCCGACGCCACGCUCUACAGGAGCAUCAUCGGCAGCCUUCGGUACCUGGUACACACACGCCCUGACAUAACCUAUGCAGUUGGCCUCACAAGCCGUUUCAUGGAGGCGCCGACUUCAGAGCAUUUCGCCACCGUGAAGCACAUCCUCCGGUACAUCGCUGGGACGCUCACUGUCGGCUGCACCUAUCGCCGCGGUGAUCGCCUAGAGCUCGAGGGUUUCAGCGACUCUGACAUGGACGGUGAUCUGGAUGACAGGAAGAGCACUUCUGGAGCAAUCUUCUUCCUCAGUGGCAGUCCAGUCAGUUGGCAAUCACAGAAACAAAGAGUGGUGGCGCUCUCCUCUUGCGAGGCAGAAUACAUUGCUGGUUCAACCGUGGCCUGCCAAGGGAUUUGGCUGGCGCGCAUGCUUGGAGAACUGCUGAACCAAGGUACAAAGGCAGUUAAAAUUUUCAUUGACAACAAAUCAGCUAUCUCGCUUGGGAAGGACCCUGUUCUGCACGACAGGAGCAAACACAUCGACCUCAGAUACCACUUCAUUCGUGAUCAUAUCGAGAAGGGUACUGUGGUGGUCGAGUUCGUCCAAUCUAGCGAUCAGAAGGCCGACAUCUUGACCAAGGCACUUGGGCGGACUCGUUUCUAG
rnacentral:rRNA from 1 species